rnacentral:rRNA from 1 species
UACGUAUGGGGCGAGCGUUGUCCGGAUUUACUGGGCGUAAAGAGCUCGUAGGCGGUUUGCCAAGUUAGAAGUGAAAUCCCAAGGCUCAACCUUGGGCUUGCUUUUAAAACUGGCAUGACUUGAGUAUGGUAGAGGAGUGUGGAAUUCCCGGUGUAGCGGUGAAAUGCGCAGAUAUCGGGAGGAACACCUAUGGCGAAGGCAGCACUCUGGGCCAAAACUGACGCUGAGGAGCGAAAGCGUGGGGAGCGAACAGGAUUAGAUACCCUGGUA